rnacentral:rRNA from 1 species
UGGGGAAUUUUGGACAAUGGGCGCAAGCCUGAUCCAGCAAUGCCGCGUGAGUGAAGAAGGCCUUCGGGUUGUAAAGCUCUUUUGUCAGGGAAGAAACGGCUGGGGCUAAUACCUCUGGCUAAUGACGGUACCUGAAGAAUAAGCACCGGCUAACUACGUGCCAGCAGCCGCGGUAAUACGUAGGGUGCAAGCGUUAAUCGGAAUUACUGGGCGUAAAGCGUGCGCAGGCGGUUUUGUAAGUCUGACGUGAAAUCCCCGGGCUCAACCUGGGAAUUGCGUUGGAGACUGCAAGGCUGGAGUCUGGCAGAGGGGGGUAGAAUUCCACGUGUAGCAGUGAAAUGCGUAGAGAUGUGGAGGAACACCGAUGGCGAAGGCAGCCCCCUGGGUCAAGACUGACGCUCAUGCACGAAAGCGUGGGGAGCAAACAGGAUUAGAUACCCUGGUAGUCCACGCCCUAAACGAUGUCUACUAGUUGUCGGGUCUUAAUUGACUUGGUAACGCAGCUAACGCGUGAAGUAGACCGCCUGGGGAGUACGGUCGCAAGAUUAA